CAAACACAGACAAAUACAAAUAAUUAUCCAAAAAUAUCACAAAAAUACUCAAAAUUGCACACCAAGGAAAAUCAUUUUAUUUGCAUUUUCUGGGAGUAUUUCUCUAUAGGGCAAAAAUCACGUGCUUACAAGUUGUCUAUAAUAUCAUCUGAAAAAGAAUUAUUAGAAAAAAUUAAUUAUAAAAAAGAUCAUUAAUAACUUUAUAUCUCGAAAAGUUAGAACAUAAGGUUUCAAAUAAAAAUAUCUCUUAUAACUUCCUUUUAAAAAUUUAGGCUUCGUAUUAAAUUUUGGCUUUAGAUCGCGCAUGUGCUUGAGUCGCCCUGAGAAGAAGGUCUCCUAGAAAAAGAUGUUUCAGAAUCAGAUAACCAAAGAAGCAAUUUUGAAUCAUAUUGGUGAUUACGAAGAUAAUACUUGUUAAACUAAAGACAACUACUUUUCGUCUUUGUUUUCUCGUACUGAAUUCCUCCAAUUGUGGUUCAAUUCUCCAUCAUAUAUAUGCCUAAUUCGAUUUUGGGAAAAUUAAACAGACAGAAAGAAAGCGAUAUGUUUCCAUUAAUUAAAAUCAAGGCACUAAAUUACAGUAUCAAGAUACUCUAUAUGGAUGAAAGACUAUAUAUAAUAUAACCAAAAUAAAAUUUAGAAGAAUACAAGUAAAUGUAACAGCUUUGAAAAAUGUAGGAGUAGUUGUCAUAUGCAUUAGGAAGUGCAGAAAUCGCAACAGCACAAGUCCUCCAAAAAGCUAGCCAUGCAAUCGUAUAAGCAAGAACAACUACAGCAAAUAAAAGGUAAAGGUAAUUAUCAAUUUAACUAGAACAAAAAUAAUGAAGUGGGAAGAGGGGUACCCUUCAUUGAUAAAUUUGUCCUGUUCAUCCUCUAUUGGGGGAGAAUUUCUGGUGGAAGUGUCUAUGGCCUGUAUCUGCGGUGGAUCCAUUCCCCCUCGAUCUCUAUUUAGUGCUCCACAGUCUGAAUGUUCUAUUUUUUGUCUGUGUUCGACUGCUAUUUGAGCUUUUUGGAUUGGUUGGUUCAAUGAAGAAAAAGGAAAGAAAAUCAAACUCUUGCCAAAUUUCCGUUUUUAUGCUACUCUACUUACUGUUCAUGCUCUUUUCAUGAUUCUCGUUCAAUUUUCGGAUUUUGUUGGACUUAAUGAGUU
rnacentral:lncRNA from 1 species